CAAAGGUUCAACGUUUCGCACAACCUUGUGGUCAGAGAGAAGCCUCUCCUAACAUCUCCGACACCCGAUGUCACGUCCUGAAGCCACCUGUCUCAGCGAAGGCCUAAAGAGGUGGGGUUGCACGCAGGCCGGGGGAUAGAAAGCACCAUAUUCACAGGUGUCCCCAAACAUCAUGUCAUACCACAAAAACACGACGGAACAUGAUCCCGCUUCAUUUUCACUGCAUGUGGUGUCAUUUUGUUGAGCAAUGACAUCAUAGGCAAUCCAUCAUUUUUGACCAGAACCUUACACUGUAUUCCUACUUUCAUAUCUGAUCAAUAGAUAUUAGUCAGUUUUGAAUAAAGGUAGUACUUUACUCGUCACA